GGGGAAUUAGCUCAGUUGGGAGAGCGCCUCCAUGGCAUGGAGGAGGUCAGGGGUUCGAGCCCCCUAUUCUCCACCA
rnacentral:tRNA from 1 species